rnacentral:rRNA from 1 species
AGGACGAACGCUGGCGGCGUGCUUAACACAUGCAAGUCGAGCGGAAAGGCCCUUCGGGGUACUCGAGCGGCGAACGGGUGAGUAACACGUGAGCAACCUGCCCUUAGCUUCGGGAUAGCUCCGGGAAACCGGAAUUAAUACCGAAUAUGACUUUGGCCUGACAUCAGCAGAAGUGGAAAGUUUUUCGGCUAGGGAUGGACUCGCGGCCUAUCAGCUAGUUGGUGAGGUAACGGCCCACCAAGGCGACGACGGGUAGCCGGCCUGAGAGGGCGACCGGCCACACUGGGACUGAGACACGGCCCAGACUCCUACGGGAGGCAGCAGUGGGGAAUAUUGCGCAAUGGGCGAAAGCCUGACGCAGCGACGCCGCGUGGGGGAUGAAUGCCUUCGGGUUGUAAACCCCUUUCAGCAGGGACGAAGCGAAAGUGACGGUACCUGCAGAGAAGCGCCGGCUAACUACGUGCCAGCAGCCGC